rnacentral:rRNA from 1 species
UACAGAGGUCUCAAGCGUUGUUCGGAUUCAUUGGGCGUAAAGGGUGCGUAGGCGGUGAGGUAAGUCUGGUGUGAAAUCCCGGGGCUCAACCCCGGAACUGCACUGGAUACUGCUUUACUAGAGUACUGGAGAGGGAACUGGAAUUUACGGUGUAGCAGUGAAAUGCGUAGAUAUCGUAAGGAAGACCAGUGGCGAAGGCGAGUUCCUGGACAGUUACUGACGCUGAGGCACGAAGGCCAGGGGAGCAAACGGG